GUGGGGAAUCUUGCGCAAUGGGCGAAAGCCUGACGCAGCCAUGCCGCGUGAAUGAUGAAGGUCUUAGGAUUGUAAAAUUCUUUCACCGGGGAAGAUAAUGACGGUACCCGGAGAAGAAGCCCCGGCUAACUUCGUGCCAGCAGCCGCGGUAAUACGAAGGGGGCUAGCGUUGCUCGGAAUUACUGGGCGUAAAGGGCGCGUAGGCGGACAUUUAAGUCAGAGGUGAAAGCCCAGGGCUCAACCUUGGAAUUGCCUUUGAUACUGGAUGUCUUGAGUUCGGGAGAGGUGAGUGGAAUGCCGAGUGUAGAGGUGAAAUUCGUAGAUAUUCGGCGGAACACCAGUGGCGAAGGCGACUCACUGGCCCGAUACUGACGCUGAGGCGCGAAAGCGUGGGGAGCAAACAGGAUUAGAAACCCCAGUAGUCC
rnacentral:rRNA from 1 species